CAGCCACAUCACAUUGAAACACCAGUUCCCUUACAAUCACCAAAGUUAAGCAAUAUCGAGCCUGGUCAGUACCUAGAUGGGUGACUGCUUGGGAUUACCAAGUGCUGUA